GGAUAAUGGAAUAGGACCCUGUCCUCCUAUUUUCAGUUGGUUUUGGCAGCGCGAGGACUAGGGUAAUGAUUAAUAGGGAUAGUUGGGGGCAUUAAUAUUUAAUUGUCAGAGGUGAAAUUCUUGGAUUUAUGAAAGAUUAACUUCUGCGAAAGCAUCUGCCAAGGAUGUUUUCAUUAAUCAAGAACGAAAGUUAGGGGAUCGAAGACGAUCAGAUACCGUCGUAGUCUUAACCAUAAACGAUGCCGACCAGCGAUUAGGAGACGUUGAAUACAAAACACCACCAUCGGUGCGGUCAUCCUUGGCGUUGGUCUUCAAAAGCCAGCGCGGGGGUGGCUUAGCCCGGUGGCACCGGUGAAUGACUCCCUAGCG
rnacentral:rRNA from 1 species